UCAGCAACAUGGCUCUGCUCAUAGAACGUCCCGUUUGUUUCUUGCGUAAAAUCGUUAAAAAUUUUGAAGCGUUUGUUCCAGAGUUACUGUAGUUUCUAUUUUAUUUUUUUCUUUGGAAGAAGCCAAAGGACGGCGUUGCUGUUUAUUUAUCGGCACCAUGUCUGGGACAAACGUGUGGAAUCGAACCCGGGAGAAAAUGAGACUUUUCUCCGAAUUGUUCGCACAAUGUGCGCCUGAGUCAGCAGCAUAUGGAAAGUGUGUGGCGGCGACCACAACCAGCCGACAUGACUUGAAGAAGGAUCUGUGUGCCAAAGAAUUUGAAGCACUGAAAACCUGCUUUACAAAUGCUGCCAAGAAAGCAGCACGAUGAACGAGAAUCAUCCUGGUCAUUAUGGAGGGAAAAAACACUUCUCCAUCACUAUUAGAGGCAAUGAAGAAUAUUUGGACUUGGAUCCAAUUCUGUUUUCUUUACUUUCUCAGUUUCCUUUUCAGGUCACUGCAUUCAAGUAAGAUCUAUUGCUGUUCUUGUUUUGUUGUAAAGAACACAAUGGAUAAAAUAUUAUUGUAAUGUAGAAUUGUGAAUAAAGACUUUGUAGCAUUUUCCUGUUAUAGUACAGUAAAUCCAGAAAGUAUUCACAGCACUUCAGUUUUACCACAUUUUGUAUUCCAAAAUGGACAAAUCUUUUUUUUUUUUUCUUCAAAAAAUCAACACACAAC